GCGGGAGUGCCGGAGCGGUCAAACGGGCAUGACUCAAGAUCAUGUGGCUUAGUGCCUGCAAAGGUUCGAAUCCUUUUUCCCGCA
rnacentral:tRNA from 1 species